CUGUCUACGUAUUUUUCCUUUAGUUUGCAUGGAACUUGCAUGCCUUCUCCAUCACCCAUGCAAGUUAACAGCUUUACCUUUGAUAAUAACUGUGCAUGAACUGUAAGUAUCCGCUCGCAGAAAGUAGAAGUCGUAGAAGACUGUUUUAGCAAAGCGCCCACUUUUCCCUCGUUUUAAUUAAAUGUCCCACAACUCUAUCGUGCAUGAAGAACACACACAGCGUAUUUAUCGACAAUAUUUGUCGUCUCGAUCUUUGCUUUUAACUACUUCCUUCACUCUCGGUGACCAUUCAUAUUGGUAGGCAUGGUAUCCCUUGACGAAGGAUUCGAUUUCAAACGAGAUCAGUGAAGCCAUUGCUGUAUCAGCUUCUUUUCGGUGCUAACGGUGCUGUACUGAUCAACGAUCAAAGAUACUGACUAAAGAACUUUAGUUAGGGAUGCACAACGAAAUUUUUGUAAUUUUGAUGAACAGUAUAAUAAAACUUUUGUACCUUAUUAAUUAUUAACAUAAUAAACGAAAUCUGACACCAACUCCGGUUAACUCGAAUCCCCACUAACUCGAACAAUUUUUCGUUCCAAACACUCCGUCGUGUAAAACCAAACACUGUUCCAAACAAUCGUUGUCGUGUAUAUACAUGUGAUU